rnacentral:rRNA from 1 species
AUUGAACGCUGGCGGCAUGCCUUACACAUGCAAGUCGAACGGUAACAGGUCUUCGGAUGCUGACGAGUGGCGAACGGGUGAGUAAUACAUCGGAACGUGCCUAGUAGUGGGGGAUAACUACUCGAAAGAGUGGCUAAUACCGCAUGAGAUCUACGGAUGAAAGCAGGGGAUCGCAAGACCUUGUGCUACCAGAGCGGCCGAUGGCAGAUUAGGUAGUUGGUGGGAUAAAAGCUUACCAAGCCGACGAUCUGUAGCUGGUCUGAGAGGACGAUCAGCCACACUGGGACUGAGACACGGCCCAGACUCCUACGGGAGGCAGCAGUGGGGAAUUUUGGACAAUGGGCGCAAGCCUGAUCCAGCAAUGCCGCGUGCAGGAUGAAGGCCUUCGGGUUGUAAACCGCUUUUGUACGGAACGAAAAGCCCCGGGUUAAUACCCUGGGGUCAUGACGGUACCGUAAGAAUAAGCACCGGCUAACUACGUGCCAGCCGCCGCAGUAA